GUGCCCGUAGCUCAGUUGGUAGAGCAGUGCCCUUUUAAGGCAUUGGCCGAAGGUUCGAGUCCUUCCGGGCACACUA
rnacentral:tRNA from 1 species